UUCUUGAGUAGUGUCUUAAAACACAAGAACCAAGGGAUCCUUAACUGCUACAUUCCCAGCAAGGACUGGGGAAAGGUGUUUGGCAUUUUGGAGCAAGCUAAAGAGCAAUUUGAUUUAGAAGACUAUUCCGUCAGUCAGAUCACACUGGAACAAGUCUUCCUGACCUUUGCUAACCCAGAGAAAUCAUCCAGUGAUGAUGAAAACGAGGUGCCAUGAGAUUC
rnacentral:sRNA from 1 species